rnacentral:pre_miRNA from 1 species
UCUUAUGGAUGAAUAAAGAAAGUGGUAUCUUGAGAUGGAAACUACUCCUGUUGAAGAUACUGUGAA